rnacentral:lncRNA from 1 species
UUUAUGUUUAUGUUUAUGUUUAUGUUUAUGUUUAUGUUUAUGUUUAUAUUUAUAUUUAUAUUUAUAUUUAUAUUUAUAUUUAUAUUUAUAUUUAUAUUUAAUCGAGGUGUCUCAUCCACAUAUAUCUUGCUUUUUAAUGAAUGGUUUACAUAAGUAAGUUGCAUGGUUAGCAUAGAAGACUUUAUAGAAAGAGAUCCCAUGGGGAAAAAAGUUAUCUUUUUCAGAAAAGAAGAAAUUACAUAGGACCAGAAAAAUACAAAGAUGAAAGCACACCCGGAGGGUGAGAAAGGGAUGAUGGGGUUGAAAAGGAAAGUCGUUGCAUGGGACAAUUCUGAAGAUCCAUCUAUGAAUACAUUGUUUACAGCAAACUUAAGAGUCAUGAGAAAGUCUUUCAAAGACUUCACUGGUCUACUUUAUGUGCCCUAGGAAGAGAAUUUGAUGACCUUUUGCCCACAGUCCCAGUAUCAUGGAAAGAAGGAAAGUCAGUUGUAACUGUACAUUAGUGGAAAAAUGAUCAAAGGAAGUUGCUCCAUACAAAACGGAGGAAGGAGUUAGAAUAAACAAGGCAGGAUGAAGUUCAUAAUACUUUCUUUAAUAACUACUUGAUGUAUUUCAAUUGGCACUAUGAAAUUAAUAUUUAAAAGAUGGAAAUAGGACCUGAUUGAAACAGGCUUCUCUGAAACAUUCCCAUCAUGUAUUUAUUUAAGAGGCAUGUUGCUUUUGAAAAGCACCCUGGUGUCACAGUGAUGAUUUAGUGGGAAAUGAGCCUUAAAAUAAUGGAUGCUGACAGAGAUGCUAACACAGAGGCACGUACAGUGGGAUGCCACAUUGCCUAGGAAGGACACCUUGCAAGAAUUUGUCACAGCAGCACAACUGCUAUGCCACAGCAAAUAGGCAUAGACUACCCUGCGGUUAGGUGUCUUUCAGGCAAGUGGAUGCUUGUUUGCAUUCUUUGCUCUUAGUUAAAAAUAGAUGCAUUUAUUAUAGAAAAGUUAGCAAACAAAACUUCAAAAGAAAUGAGAAAUUCUGCAAUCUCACCACACAAAAAAAAAAAAUCAUUGUUAACCUUUGGAAUAUUUAUUUUCCCAGAUCUGUGUGCUUAUUUAGUUAUUAUAAGACGUAUCUCAAAUAAUAAUCUUCUUUGUGCCUCUCUCCUUCUCAGCCUAUCUUUAAUUCUGGUUUUCUCACUUCUUUUGCCUUAUUCUUAAAUAUUUCCUUUUUCUUUGACACAUAUUAGCUUGGAAAGAAACAAAUAAUUAAACCUCUACUAAUUCAACAAUUUUG